AUAUACAAGGGCCAAAAAGUGUAGUGUUUUGGGGAGGGGGCGUUUCUUUAAAAAUAUUAAAUGUGUGUUUGGGAGAAUUUUAAUGUAGGUAGAUAAGACUACUACUGAUGAACCUAAGAAGAGUUUGUGCAUACUCCACAAUAUGGGUUUUCAGGCCAUUUGAUUGAAUGAUCAAAGAGACAAAAAAUAAAGGUGGCUUAUAAAUCUGAGGGCUAGAAAAUUGUGUUAGUUGUGGGGUAGCAUUUUUAUGCAGGCUUUUUUAUUGAUGGAUUCAAAAGGGAUAUACACAUGUAGCAACUAUUUUAACAGUAGCGCAGCAUGGGUAUCAGAUAUAGCUAUGUGUUUCUAGAAUUCAAGGACAGCUGUUUCAUAAGAUUAUCUACAAUGGCCAAACUGAUAGGCCUAACAAGUGUUUGUGUUUUUGUUUGUAAAAAAUAAUAGUAGUUAAGUAGUGAAUAAAUUUAUUUUUUUUUAUUGUAAUAGGGAAAAAAUUAGCAGACCAAAUCUACACUUAUCUUGUAGUUAGUUAAGCACCACUAGCGAUCUGCUGAGUAGUUCUAUUAAUUUCUUUUAUAUUCCAGCCAUCUCCCCUCAUUGUUAGCCAUCCAUUCUUGAAAUUCUUUUGUUUUGAUCUCUUGCUAUGUCUUGCUUUGUCACAAGAUUAUAAGAAGUUAUUUGCUGCAACUGAACUAGAUACUUUUAUGUUUGUUUUUAGGUACAUCUUAUGGUGAAGAGUGGUUCAGGCAAGACCAGUAUGUGGUCCAUAAUACUUGCUAAUUGUAUUGCAAGGGACACAAGAAGAAUUGGUGUAACAAUGUUCUUGUGGCAUCCAGUGAUAUUGUCAGGAACCAGCCAAGAGUGGAAUGAAAAAAAGCACUAAAAUGUCAUUUGCUGGCACUGUGGCCUGAAUGGCAUCAGAAGUCAUUUGAAAUAAAAUGUGCAGUGAAAUGAAAAAGUAGACAUUUGGAGUGCAAAGCUCAAAAAUAGACCAUCAUUUAGACAAAUUCUCAUGCACCUUGAGAUUGCCUCUGCUAAAUUACUUUGGUUCAGUCAGGAGGACUUUUCUGAAUCUCAAUGAAGUCCUUAACUGAAAGACACAGAUUCUGUCAUUAUCAUCAAGAUAUUCUAAGAAAGGAUCUGAGGUGAGAACAAUUACUGACUAUGUACAAUAACAGUAGUAAGAGUAUAAUUCAUCCAAUCAUAAAAGUUCUAGAAAAGCUAGAUCGACUUGGUAAAAAAACUGACACAUAGGUCAGAGUCUGAAGUCACCAUGCCUGACUCUAUGAAAAACACAGAAGGGAGCAUGACAACCAGGUCUUAGCUGGUACCACCACCUCCUACGAAAAUGCGUGCCAGGAAGUCUCGUCAUCGUCGCAAUAACAGCAGAGGGUCUAUGAAAGACAUUACCUCUCCGCUCAAAUCUCAAUCUACAUAUGAAGCUUCACUGGACACCCAAACAUCAGACAAACUAAACCCUGCAGGGCUUCAUCCUACUGACCUAUGCUAAGACAUUAAACUUUUUGGAACCUGUCACUGCAAUCAGGGAGUAUCGAAGUGAAGAUGAAGCUGAUGGGCAAGAGACUAGGUUAACAACAUUAAAAAACGUGAAGUUCGUUGUAGCAAAAACUCAUCCACUUCUUCUGCUAGGCACUUGCCAAUCUCAAAACUUUUUCCUGUAAGUAAGUAAAAGCAGCACUCAUCCUAUCAAGACAAUAACAUUAAUGAUGUUUGCUUUGGCUGUAAUGGUGGCUGCAGUGAUGCUACUUGUAGCACCAAAUGCUCAUCCCAGGUCAGUGCUGAUGUGGAGAACACAUUUGACCUAUGCCCAGCCCAAAACAGAACUUGGAAACUAUGAGUGAAAAAUCCUCUCCGGAUGUUGACCUCUCAUCCUGACCUGAAACUUUUAUUUCAAUGCUGACAUAACAAACAGAUGGUUUGUUAUUGUUGUAUUUGAAAAACACAAAUGUCUACCAAAAUUGAGGCCCACUUUCUUCAAUUCUUUACAAAGGUAACCUGCAGCAUGUUAAAAGGAUGAAGUUUGUGAUAGGCUUCUUAAAAAGUUGGUUCCAAUAGAAAUUAAACUUAGUUAAUUCAUAAGUAUCAAUUUUAACCAGGUGUAAUAGUUUGUAUUUCAAAUGUCUAAUAAGUCCACUUGGGCAUUAUUUGUUUAUUGGGAGCACUGUUUGAUUAGCCAGUGCACUAGGAACUUUUGUCUCUUUCAUAAAAAUGAGCAUUUUAAAAAAUUUCCUUUAAACUUAAAGAUGACUCAUUUUCAAAAGCUAAUUGCAUUCAAGGUUUGGGCUGCAGAUUGGCUUAGCCAAUACGCAAGGAACUACUGCAUGUUGGUAAUAAGCUAAUGCACAGGAAAAUAGUAUUUAUUGGCUAUUGCUAACAACCAAUAUAAAAAGGAUUUUCAGCCAGUGCAUGUUUUCAAGAGGGGAAAAUUCCUCUUAAAUAAAUACACACAAUGAUUUUGUAUGCAGUUUUCUUUGCUUCUUUUCUCCUCAUUUUCAUCUUUGCUAAUGACACAUUUAUUAGUUUAUCUCAAGUUUAUUUAUUUAAUGAUAAUAUUUUAUCAAAUCUUUGAAAUAUAAAAAAAAAAUUAAAACUAACAUAUCACAUUUUUUAACUCUUUCUCUCCAUAAUUAUACCACAUUCUGGUGGAAUCAACGCUGGUAUCGUCAGUUAGGAGAGAAAGAGUUAAAACUUUUUUGUUUUGUAUCUUAGAACAUGGUAACCACUACUGGCAUUUCGAGAUAAUAAUAAAAAUAGAUGCAUAUUUUUUCAUGUCUUUUUUUUUGCAUUCUUAAAAAGAAUGUAUGCAUCCAAAACAGUGUUACCCAACCUAGAGCCUGUAGGCCAUAUCUGACCCAUGAUGCAGUGCAGUUUGGCUUUUGAAGCUUCUGCUCAUGGUGCAGAGACCAAUUUCAUUGGACUUGCCUUUUUUUUAUGUGGCUGAUGACAUGUAAAAGAAAUUCAGCCUUCAGGCUGGAAAAGGUUGGGCAGCACUGACCUAAAUCAUCCCUUUUGAGUUUUGUCCACAUCAAUACAUGAUUUUAUUUCCUGUCCAAUUUUUCAUAGACCUAAAAAACUUGUUGGAUUUUUUAAAUGUUGAUAGAACAGAAAGAAAAAAAAGUUUUCUUUUUCAGGUGGGGUGCUCUGUACCCUUAAGUUUUUGGACUAGUAUUUAAAAAUAGUAUUCAGUCCUACAAAAAGAUUAGUUUAUUGAGACUUCAAAUUGUUUUGUUGUUUUAUAAGGUCAAUUUUAAAAAUGUCAUCACCUCCAACUUGAAUUAUUCUCAAUAUGAAAAACAAAGUGUGAAUUAUUUUGUCAUAGAAACACUUAUUACAACAUAAACUGAAAAAAAAAGUUGAAUAUUAUAUAAAUAUUGUAUAUUACAAUAGCUCAUGAUUUUUACUAACGAGUUUCACUUCAGUUUCUCUGUGGCUAAUUACUCUUAUUUCAUACAUUUAUAAGUGUAUAUUUGUUUGUAUAGAUCUUUAUUUAUUUUAACACACAUCUUCUUUUCUCUAGAACUGUUCUUAAAGUUUACCAGAGACAUUUGUAUUAGAUGUCCAGAUGAUACUUGUUUUUAUUUGACCACAUACAUUUGUUAUUAUUCCAUUCAUUAGACAAACUGCAAACGUUUUGCUGGAUAAAACUUGCUUCAUCAAAACGUUUCGCUGGCUGGACUAUCACCUUGAUUCUACCUCUUAUUGAAAAGAGUUCAUCUUAGUUUAUGCUUUUGUUUGACUUUUGCACUCUCAAAUCUACUAAAUGUUAAUCAUAGAAAAGUACUGAAACAUUUUGUUUUUCUUAGCCAUGUCUACUACCAUUGUUAAAAUAGAUAAAAUUGUGAGGGAGUUUUAAAAAUGUAAAUAGCUAGAUUACUAGCACAACUAUUCAUUGAAAUUCAUUUUAGUGGAAAGGGGAGGACAAAAAAGUGUUUUCUAUGUUGUUUUGUUAUAUGCUUUAUUUUAAUUGACAUUUAUUUUCUUUUGUUAUUCAUUCUCUAAGUACCAGUAUGAAGAAACCAAAACAAGCUGCUGAGGGAACAUCUGAUUAAUACUUUUUUAUAUAUAUAAAUUGUAUUUGGUAGCAUUUUUUUAGGUUUUUUUUUUCUAAAGCAUUUAUUGUUGACUUAAUUUAAAAUAUUCUUUUAUCUCAGAUUUGUGAUUAGUACAUUAAAACAAAAAAAAAACAGUUUUGUAAUAUGAUAUAUUAUUAUUCAUCACUGUUGCUAAUCCAUAUUUUUUUUUUUUUACAUUUAAACACCUUGUAUAUUGACAGAAGAAUUCUUUUGUGUUCUCCUGAUUCCUACAAUCAUUCUAGUGGCGGCCAUUUUAUUUCUUGUUAUUUGUAGAACUAUGAUUCAGUUGUUGUUGUUGUGAAUUAGUCCUGCCAAUGGUUAUUAUGUAUUUAUAUGGUUUAAAAUUUUUUUUAAAUUAUUGUAAAGACAAUCUAAAUAAUGCCUGUCCUGUGUUGUCAGGACUUUAUUUAUGAUUAGAUUUUUAAAUGUCUAGGUAAUUAAGUAAAAUUUUAAUUGCAAUAUGUGUGUGUAUUAAAGAAUAAUUGUUAUCUUUUGCUUGA